GACGAACGCUGGCGGCGUGCUUAACACAUGCAAGUCGAACGGAAAGGCCCUGCUUUUGUGGGGUGCUCGAGUGGCGAACGGGUGAGUAACACGUGAGUAACCUGCCCUUGACUUUGGGAUAACUUCAGGAGACUGGGGCUAAUACCGGAUAGGAGCUCCUGCUGCAUGGUGGGGGUUGGAAAGUUUCGGCGGUUGGGGAUGGACUCGCGGCUUAUCGGCUUGUUGGUGGGGUAGUGGCUUACCAAGGCUUUGACGGGUAGCCGGCCUGAGAGGGUGACCGGCCACAUUGGGACUGAGAUACGGCCCAGACUCCUACGGGAGGCAGCAGUGGGGAAUAUUGCACAAUGGGCGGAAGCCUGAUGCAGCAACGCCGCGUGCGGGAUGACGGCCUUCGGGUUGUAAACCGCUUUCGCCUGUGACGAAGCGUGAGUGACGGUAAUGGGUAAAGAAGCACCGGCUAACUACGU
rnacentral:rRNA from 1 species